rnacentral:rRNA from 1 species
CACGUAGGCGGGUCUUUAAGUCGGGGGUGAAAUCCUGGAGCUCAACUCCAGAACUGCCUUCGAUACUGAGGAUCUCGAGUCCGGGAGAGGUGAGUGGAACUCCGAGUGUAGAGGUGAAAUUCGUAGAUAUUCGGAAGAACACCAGUGGCGAAGGCGGCUCACUGGCCCGGUACUGACGCUGAGGUGCGAAAGCGUGGGGAAGCAAACA